rnacentral:rRNA from 1 species
CCUACGUGUGGCAGCAGUGGGGAAUAUUGGGCAAUGGGCGCAAGCCUGACCCAGCAACGCCGCGUGAAUGAUGAAGGCCUUCGGGUUGUAAACUUCUUUUAUCAGGGACGAAGCAAGUGACGGUACUUGAGGAAUACGCCACUGCGAACUACGUGCCAGCAGCCGCGGUAAUACGUAGGCGGCAAGCGUUAUCCUGAAUUACUGGGAGUAAAGGGUGCGUAGGGGGGUUGGCAAGUUAGUUGUGCAAACGAUGUGCUCAACCUGGAGCCUUUUUCUGAAACUGUGGUACUUGAGUGCAGGAGAGGCAAGCGGAAUUCCUAGUGUAGCGGUGGAAUGCGUAGAGAUUAGGAGGAACACCAGUGGCGAAGGCGGACUGCUGGACAGUAACUGACACUGAGGCACGAAAGCGUGGGGAGCAAACAGGAUUAGAUACCCGGGUAGUC